GUCUCUGUUUUUCCUGGUUUACCUGUUUGUUGGAACCAGCGCCUUCUCUUCUCUUGCUCUACGACGGAAUCAAUUCUGUAAAAACUCUUACCUGCCUCUUGCCUCUGCGUUCGGGAUCCAGACCGUCCUCACACCACACCGUGACAUACUUACGUUUAAAUCUCAAAACUAAGUUGCCAUGAUUUAAUUUUAUUAUUACAAUGAGCCUAUACAGAAGGGUGUAAUGAGGAAACUGAAGCAAGUCCCAUUUCGAAGGUCCUUUUUUUCAUAUUAUCAGUGAUCAAUGUGCAUGUACUUGUCUCCCCAGAUAGAAAGAAUUUGCACAGUAUUGUUUAUAUAAAUAUAUGGACCAAUACUAUGUUUGCAUAUUAUUAUGUAUGCUAUAAUUAGACUUUAAAAUAUUGAUUUUCACGUUGCCUUUUUCUGAGGCUGCACAGAUCUACCAUCCCCAACACAGAUAAAAUAGGUCUUAUUCCCAAAGAGGUCACCCACCCCUGUGCCAGCUGGAGUGGUGCUAAAUUUUAAAUGUUAAAUGAAGAAUUUAGGGGCUGUAAAAUGUCUGUUCUAAAUACAGUGAAAUACUAAACUAUUAACUCUUCUUCAUACAGAUUUCACAGUAAAGUACGAUUGGCGGUAAGAACAUCAAGGACUGCACAACAAAGAUCUUGGACAGGCUGAUGACAAACUCCCUGAUGUCUUCUUUCAAUAUGAAGGGCCACGGUUCCAAAAAGGCAUUCCAACUGACAGAACUUUACGCCAUUGUGACAGCUGCUGUCAAAAGGUGGGACAGCAAAGCCACAGACCAUGAAAUUUCACGUGCUUUGGCAGACCAUUUCAAACAUGCUCCUGGGUGGUCUGGUGGUGGAGGCUAUCUUAAAAAAUAAAACAG